UCCGACGGCGCUGCUCUGGGGGCUUGCAGGGCUGGGGGAGGGCGGGGACGCGAGCGCCGCGCCACUCACCCCGGGUUGACGCGCCCUCGCCCCUCCCCCGCCGUCUCCAUCCUCCUCCUGGAGAACAGGGCUCAGAUUUGAAACGUAUGCCCAGUGACCAGUGAAGACCUCCGGCUCAACCCAGAAAAAUGGAAGCUUUGGUCCCCAGUCGCUCCGGCGAAGAACCAAAGAUCACUGCAGUCUGAUUUUUACAGACUCCGUACCACUGUUGCAGCCUGUGAUUCUGAGGUGCAAAAUUGGCCAGCCCAGAGAGGUAAUUUUCGGGAAUAAACUCGUGCUUUGCUGAUGGAAUGAAACAUACUGGGGCCACACUCAGAAUAGAACGUGCUUGGUGUGGCGAUCCCUGGCACAGAUUCUUUUCUGCUGGAAUGAUUUGAUCCGUGUGAAAGACCCCCCUGCCCAUCCUGGAUUCUGUCAAGUCAGGGCCUCUGUGGGUGACGGCAAGUGCAGAUGCUCUUGGCAGGUACUGGGUUACGGCUCGCACACCCACGUGCUUUCUCUGCCCAGGAAAGGAGCCAGACCAGCAAGACCCGAACUUUUCACGGGGUAAAUGGCCUUUGGGGCUGCAGAUGUACUUGGGAAAAUGGCAAGGUAUUUUUUUUUCCUAAUGGGUAUCUCAAUUUACUUCUUAUAGCUAUAACAUGAGUUAGGUAUUAUUGUCCUUAUCUUCUUCUUUUAUUUAAACUUUUAAUGUGACAGAUUUUACACUCACAGAAAAGUGAAGGUCUAAUAUGAUGAGCAACCAUGUACUCACCACCUAGAUUCAACACUUUGUCUCUCUUUCCUUUGUCUCAGUAUAUGUUCGUGUAUGUGUGUGUUAUAUCUAUACUUAUAUACACUAUCUCUGUAUCGAUAUUUUUUCCUUUUGGCUGAAUCUUUUUAAAGCAUGUUGCGAACAUUAUGGCACUUCACCUAUUCAGGAAACAGAAACUGCACCUGCUGUUUGAGUGGAGAGAAUUUACUAUAUUGACUUAACUAGAUAACAAAGUCAUUGGCUAGGUGACCAGAAGAAUAAAAUGAGGACUCCAAGGAAUCAUGGUGGAGGCAGUUUCAGGAAGCAUCCUUUGGGUUGGUGGCAUAAAGGACAAAUUGGGGUUAUUAAACCAGACACCUACAGGAAGGCUCCCUGUCGCUGAGACUCUCCUGUCAGAAGCCGAGGGACUGCUCAGCUAGUGCUGGUCUCUGAGUUGUGGCGCUGGGACCCAAACCUCUGAGGAGGGGGCUGGUUGGAGGGUGCUGGUGUCUCUAUGGGGCUGGAUUUCGUGGCUGCUGUGGGAAAGAAGUCCUGCUACUGGGGUGAAGAAGCAGUGCUGGGGGGCAAAACAGGAACAGGAAGCAGAUGGAAAGGAGCAAGUCUCUUCUUCCUCCUCCAGCCGUGCGUACUCUCUCUCUCUAGCACCCGCUUUUGGCAGAUCCUCUCAUGUGGGUUGCAGAGUCCCAGACCCAGCGUCACAAGGCCAAGUAUAGCACGGCCAACCAUAAAAGGUAACUGGGCGCCAGGUGGAGGACAUGGGGAUGAGCUACUUCUUUUACCACACUGCCACAUGGGGCCUCGGGCUUUCCCAUGGCAAGGGGAGUCAGGGUGCCUGGAAGUCUGCUGCAACUUGGAAUAUUUCCCCAAUUUCCUGCUUACUGCCUGAAUUUCCUGCGUGAGAAAUUUUACUCCUUUGCGUCAAGGUGUGGGUGCUGUGGUCUCUUUUACAAAUGCAACUCUUGGGGCUUCCCUGGUGGCGCGGUGGUUGGGAAUCCGCCUGCAAAUGCAGGGGACACGGGUUCGAGCCCUGGUCCAGGAAGAUCCCACAUGCCAUGGAGCAGCUAAGCCUGUGCACCACAACUACUGAGCCUGCGCUCUAGAGCCCGCGAGCCAUAACUACUGAGCUCACGUGCCACAACUACUGAAGCCUGUGCACCUGGAGCCUGUGCUCCGCAACAAGAGAAGCCACUGCAAUGAGAAGCCCGCACACCACAACGAAGAGUAGCCCCCCCUUGCCGCAACUAGAGAAAGCCUAUGUGCAGCAACGAAGACCCAAUGCAGCCAAUAAAUAAAUAAAUAAACAAAUCUAUUAAAAAAAUGCAACUCUUUCAGAGAGAAGGAAUACAUUAAAAAAAGGACAUUGUAUGUCUUCUUUGGAGAAAUGUCU